rnacentral:lncRNA from 1 species
GUUUCCUAGGGUGUGUUUCGGAGUCUGGAGGACCCCUGAUUCCAGACGUUGGUGUUUAAAAGUUAAGGCGAAUGUGGAAACACCCGAGGGGAACUUUCUCAUGCAUUAGCGCACCUCGAGGUGGGAGGGGAAGCGGUGACUGUCCUCCCUCCACCAGCCGUCGCGGGAACCCGUGGGGUUCAGUGAAGGGUCCAGCAGUUCAGGUGCCCGCCCCGGGCCUGGGCCUUGGCUCCGGGCUACAGUGUGAGAUCCCGGGCUAGGUGGCCCGCCUGGGGCAGGUCGCCGGGACAACCCCACCGCCCCGCAAGUCCAGCCCGGCCUCGGGCACGGUAGGGUUUGCGGUUAAGCUUGUGACCUUUAGACUUCUGAAUAUUCAUAUGUAUGAAAUGUGAUAUACAUAAAAGUGUGCAUAUCAGGAAUUUACAGUGAUUAAUGACCAGAGUGAACACAGCUGCGUAGCCGACACCGGGAUCCAAAACACCGCUAUUCUGAAAGCCUCCCUCUUUCCCAAAAGGCAACCGCGAACUCAACACUACAAAUUCGGUUUGCUUGCUUUUGCUAUAAAUAGAAUCAUGCAGUAUGCUUUUUUUUUUGGCCUAGUUUCAUGGAGUCUAUAUUAUGUCUGGAGUCCAUCCAGGUUGCAUACAGAGAUGGUUUGUUUGCUUUUGCUGCUGAAGAGAAUUCCAUUGUAUAUAUUAUACCAUAAAUUACUUAUUCUGCUGUUGAUAGACAUCAAAGUUGUUUUCAGUUAGGGCUAUUCUGAGUAAUGCUACUAUGAAUUUUCUGGUACGUGGUUCUGAUGCACGUUUGCAUGAGUUUGUCCUGGAGUGGGACUGCUGGGACAUAGGGUAUAUCUAUCAUCAAUAAGUAAUGCCCAACAGUUAUGCUAAGAGGCUGAAAUAAUAUACACACUCCAGCGGUGUGUAAGGGUUUUCAUGGCUUCCAGCUUCAGCCUUCUUGGCAUUUUAACUCUAUAACUUCAGCUAUUCUGAUGGGUGUGUGGUGGUAUUGCACUACUGCUUUGCUUUGCUUUUCUCUAAUAACUAAUGAAGCUGAGAACCUUCUCAUGUGUAUGGUGCCCAUUCUGAUAGCUUCCUUGGUUAAGUGUUCUUUCGAGUCCCUGGCUCAUUUUUUUUUUUUCCUUAUGGAGUUGUCUGCCUUUUUUCUUAUUGAUUUGUGGAAUUUCUUUAUAUAUUAGGGAUAUGAACACAC